rnacentral:rRNA from 1 species
UACGUAGGGGGCAAGCGUUGUCCGGAUUUAUUGGGCGUAAAAGGCUUGUAGGUGGCCACGCCAAGUCGGAUGUGAAAUCUCCCGGCUCAACUGGGAGGGGUCAUUCGAUACUGGCGGGCUCGAGGCCGGUAGGGGGAAGUGGAAUUCCCGGUGUAUUGGUGGAAUGCGUAGAUAUCGGGAGGAACACCAGUGGCGAAGGCGGCUUCCUGGACCGGUUCUGACACUGAGGAGCGAAAGCGUGGGGAGCGAUCCGG